GAUGAACGCUGGCGGCGUGCCUAAUACAUGCAAGUCGAGCGAACAGACGAGGAGCUUGCUCCUUUGACGUUAGCGGCGGACGGGUGAGUAACACGUAGGUAACCUACCUAUAAGACUGGGAUAACUUCGGGAAACCGGAGCUAAUACCGGAUAAUAUUUCGAACCGCAUGGUUCGAUAGUGAAAGAUGGCUUUGCUAUCACUUAUAGAUGGACCUGCGCCGUAUUAGCUAGUUGGUAAGGUAACGGCUUACCAAGGCAACGAUACGUAGCCGACCUGAGAGGGUGAUCGGCCACACUGGAACUGAGACACGGUCCAGACUCCUACGGGAGGCAGCAGUAGGGAAUCUUCCGCAAUGGGCGAAAGCCUGACGGAGCAACGCCGCGCGAGUGAUGAAGGUCUUCGGAUCGUAAAACUCUGUUAUUAGGGAAGAACAAACGUGUAAGUAACUGUGCACGUCUUGACGGUACCUAAUCAGAAAGCCACGGCUAACUACGUG
rnacentral:rRNA from 1 species